rnacentral:lncRNA from 1 species
AAUUUUUUCUUCUAAAAAAAUACUGAUUAAUUUUGAACUCGUUUGAUCCUCCAAUCUCAUACUUCAAAUAUGCAAUCAUAUUCGUGUAAGUAGGAAUCAAUGCACAUUAACAAUGACGACAAAACAACUCAUCAAAACAAUGAUAUAUUAAGCAUCGUCUAAAAGGACACUUCAAAGCUGAAACCAAAAAACUGAUCUUGGUUGAUGGAAACUACUAUGAAAAUAAGACAAUGAGUCAAACCCAAUAAAAAUAGAAUCCAACAGUCGAACUCAAUACAAAUAAACCAAAUUAACAAGUCAAAUAGCUAGUAUCAUAAAAAUAGUAUUAAACUAAGAAUUAAAAAAAAAAAAAAGUUUCAUUGAUCAAGAAAAGGCCCAAGUCCCCAUCUAAGUCGGAAGUGAACAAAUUUCCAUCCAUGAAUAUCCCAAACUGCCUUCCAUGGGUGAAGCUCCACAUUCAAUUUUUCUACUACUCCUUUGGCAGUGAGCUCGAGCAAGUAUUCGUGGACCGGAUCAAGUAGUGAUGGAUAAUAAUC